CGGCGGCCGAUGUUGCGCAACCGCGGCGGAUGCUCGAACCAGGGUUGCCGCCUGCAAUUGCCGCCGGUGUUGCGAUGACCCCACUCAAAUGAGCCGCGCAGAGCUACGCACUCGCGGUUUCGAGCAGCAACGACUGGUGCGCGCGCGCGGCAGCCGUCUAUUGAUUAGGCAGCGGCGGCGGCCCGAAAGUGCAGACGGACCGUCUCCCAGACGGCGGCGCGGACGUCACAACGAAGGAAGAAAAAACCUGCAGAGGAAAACACCGAGUAGGAAGAGACCGCUCCUGCCGUGCUAGUGCACUGGGAGGCGCUGGAUGGCGCUGGCGUCGGGGGUCAACAGCCGCUGCUGUAACACACAGGGAAACGGCGUCGCUCCGUGGGCUCCCAACUUCCGCACCGGGCGCUCGCGCGCACUGCCCACAACACGCCGCCGGAGUGAGUGUGUGCGUGUGUUGUUCGGCGCAGCGCCGGCUACUCCCGAGAGCUACUUCGAGAACUGGCUACCCUCGCCGGUGCGCCCCGUGACCGGCCGACUUGUCCCCCUCACCGCCCGCCGGUGGCCCGGAAGUGCGAGGCCGACCACUACUGCGUAGCGGCGAGACUGCGUCGGAACCUGCUCCGUCGCGGAUAAAAAAAAGAAAGAAAGCGGACCGAGUCCACCCUGCUCACUACACAUAGCCCCCGUUGCAAUUCAACUUCACUAUACGUCAGUAUACCGGUUCGGGUGCUCGCGGCUCACGCGCUUGCUUGCGCGCUAGCCCUCGACCUCUGAAUUUCGUCGCCCACAAAUGCAAGACUGCAUUGCGACAGGUGACGCGGAUGACACUACACCUGACACCGU
rnacentral:lncRNA from 1 species